rnacentral:rRNA from 1 species
AUUGAACGCUGGCGGCAUGCCUUACACAUGCAAGUCGAACGGCAGCACGGAGCUUGCUCUGGUGGCGAGUGGCGAACGGGUGAGUAAUAUAUCGGAACGUACCCUAGAGUGGGGGAUAACGUAGCGAAAGUUACGCUAAUACCGCAUACGAUCUAAGGAUGAAAGUGGGGGAUCGCAAGACCUCAUGCUCGUGGAGCGGCCGAUAUCUGAUUAGCUAGUUGGUAGGGUAAAAGCCUACCAAGGCAUCGAUCAGUAGCUGGUCUGAGAGGACGACCAGCCACACUGGAACUGAGACACGGUCCAGACUCCUACGGGAGGCAGCAGUGGGGAAUUUUGGACAAUGGGCGAAAGCCUGAUCCAGCAAUGCCGCGUGAGUGAAGAAGGCCUUCGGGUUGUAAAGCUCUUUUGUCAGGGAAGAAACGGUGGGAGCUAAUAUCUCUUGCUAAUGACGGUACCUGAAGAAUAAGCACCGGCUAACUACGUGCCAGCAGCCGCGGUAAUACGUAGGGUGCAAGCGUUAAUCGGAAUUACUGGGCGUAAAGCGUGCGCAGGCGGUUUUGUAAGUCUGAUGUGAAAUCCCCGGGCUCAACCUGGGAAUUGCAUUGGAGACUGCAAGGCUAGAAUCUGGCAGAGGGGGGUAGAAUUCCACGUGUAGCAGUGAAAUGCGUAGAUAUGUGGAGGAACACCGAUGGCGAAGGCAGCCCCCUGGGUCAAGAUUGACGCUCAUGCACGAAAGCGUGGGGAGCAAACAGGAUUAGAUACCCUGGUAGUCCACGCCCUAAACGAUGUCUACUAGUUGUCGGGUCUUAAUUGACUUGGUAACGCAGCUAACGCGUGAAGUAGACCGCCUGGGGAGUACGGUCGCAAGAUUAAAACUCAAAGGAAUUGACGGGGACCCGCACAAGCGGUGGAUGAUGUGGAUUAAUUCGAUGCAACGCGAAAAACCUUACCUACCCUUGACAUGGCUGGAAUCCUUGAGAGAUCAGGGAGUGCUCGAAAGAGAACCAGUACACAGGUGCUGCAUGGCUGUCGUCAGCUCGUGUCGUGAGAUGUUGGGUUAAGUCCCGCAACGAGCGCAACCCUUGUCAUUAGUUGCUACGAAAGGGCACUCUAAUGAGACUGCCGGUGACAAACCGGAGGAAGGUGGGGAUGACGUCAAGUCCUCAUGGCCCUUAUGGGUAGGGCUUCACACGUCAUACAAUGGUACAUACAGAGCGCCGCCAACCCGCGAGGGGGAGCUAAUCGCAGAAAGUGUAUCGUAGUCCGGAUUGUAGUCUGCAACUCGACUGCAUGAAGUUGGAAUCGCUAGUAAUCGCGGAUCAGCAUGUCGCGGUGAAUAAGUUCCCGGGUCU